rnacentral:rRNA from 1 species
AGUGGCAAACGGGUGAGUAACGCGUGGGAAUCUGCCUAUCAGUGGGGAAUAACUGUUGGAAACGACAGCUAAUACCGCAUACGUCCUUCGGGAGAAAGGCUUCGGUCGCUGAUAGAUGAGCCCGCGUCAGAUUAGGUAGUUGGUAGGGUAAUGGCCUACCAAGCCUAUGAUCUGUAGCUGGUCUGAGAGGAUGAUCAGCCACACUGGGACUGAGACACGGCCCAGACUCCUACGGGAGGCAGCAGUGGGGAAUCUUGCACAAUGGGCGAAAGCCUGAUGCAGCCAUGCCGCGUGAAUGAUGAAGGCCUUAGGGUUGUAAAAUUCUUUCGUCAGGGAUGAUAAUGACCGUACCUGAAGAAGAAGCCCCGGCUAACUUCGUGCCAGCAGCCGCGGUAAUACGAAGGGGGCUAGCGUUGUUCGGAAUUACUGGGCGUAAAGCGCACGUAGGCGGACUUUUAAGUCAGGUGUGAAAUCCCGGGGCUCAACCUCGGAACUGCAUUUGAAACUGGAAGUCUUGAGACCAGGAGAGGUUAGCGGAAUACCGAGUGUAGAGGUGAAAUUCGUAGAUAUUCGGUGGAACACCAGUGGCGAAGGCGGCUAACUGGACUGGUACUGACGCUGAGGUGCGAAAGUGUGGGGAGCAAACAGGAUUAGAUACCCUGGUAGUCCACACCGUAAACGAUGAGAGCUAGUUGUU